ACCCAUGGGCGUGCCUGCGUCUAUAUUGGUCAAGCCCGGAACAGGACUCACCCUCUUAUAACUAAGGUACUAUAUAACUAAGGUGGGCUAGCUUACUGCAAGGGGCUUCAGAAUUACUAGUAUUUCUCUAUCGCAGUAUUGAUCUUCACACUGGGUACAAACUCGUCUGUAUUGCUAUAUCACGCCUUUCUGGCUUCUGGAAAUGUGAUCCAAGCUGUUGAGUGUGAGAUCGGAGGCGAAUCCUAGCACUAUUUGGGACCAGGCGUAUAUCGACAGUUGUGAAGUCUUUCCACGCCUUAACAAUGGCCUCUACGAGAACUUUUUGUUGGUUUCUUCUGUGUUGCGUGACGUUGUGGACUUGUGUCGCGACAAGGAGUAUAGCUGAAGAUGACUACGUUUACACUGACUAUAAGGUUCCAGAGACCGAGAACAGACAAGCCGCCGUUCGACUACCGAGUAACCUUCUUCGAUUUUUACUACGCAUUGACGAAACGCCCACCCGAAACGCACAGAAAAGCCUAGAAGUUCCCCAACCAAGAAAAAGACAGCGGCAGUGCUAUUGGUCGGUGGUCACGUGUUACUGACGUCAUCAUCCCCGCCUCAAAGACGCUUGGGGCAGUGCAUUGUGACUUUAACUCUCUGAUUGAUGAUGUGUGUUAACAGCGGGUCCACAUAAUAUACAAGGGAAAUGUGAACAAUAAAUACAAUUUAUUU